AUCGUAAGCAUCACCAGCCUUGACAAAACGUCCCUUCACACGCCUUCUCACAUCAGCCCUUGCUUUGCGAGAAGCGUAUCUCACAUGCUUAUCGAAUUUGCGGGUCUUCUUCUUUUCCUUGUAGCGCAAUACAGCAUCGCUUCUGCUACUUGAUGCCAAUGAACUUUCAGGACAUCGAUGGCACCAAGGUGGUUCUCCCAUAAGUAGCAUUGUGGAGGCUCCACAUUCUUGGUAAUCCCCGCCAUUGCUCUCUCCUCCAAGGUUAGAAAAUGAGAGGAUGGAUGCUUGCCUUGCAAAGCAAACAGUAGGUUCCGUUUUGCAGCUCAUCAGAGAGUCUGCAGACUCUGCUUUGCUACAUGCUGGAAGGAUUGACAUUACCCUUCGAAUUGAUGAACCCUCGACAGCAUUGGCAUCCUGGCAGCUGGAAUCAGAAACUGACAUAUCUUUCGUCCCAAAUAAUCCAUCAAUGUCAUCAUUUUCAAAUAGCUGAUUUGGAUUAUCGAGAGAACCACUAAAUAGCUCUUCAUAAUUUUCAAAACUCAAG
rnacentral:misc_RNA from 1 species